CUAUGAGCAAUACUCUGAAGACAAGCUGUUAGCCACAGGCAUGGUGUGACUUCCCCUUCAUACCUUCAGUGCUUAAACUUUGCUUAAUAAAUGCAAAGAGUAAAGUUUUGGCUCUUGAUCUUACCAUUUGUUCCAGUUUUGAACUAACUGAUCAGCAAUAGCUCUUGGCUCAAGAUACAAAUUCUAUGAAAAACUAAACUCACUUAUAGGCACAUUCUAAAGGUUUUGCUGUAAGUCUGCUGUUCUGUCAGAGCUUCUACCAAGGAGGUGUGUUACUGCAUACUGGAGCAGUAUUACAUGUCACGAAAUGUGUCCGAUUUUGAAGAGAGCCGGACAACCAUAAUAUUUAAAUGUGGCAAGUGUGGUGAGUAUUUGGUCUACUUGUUCAAGACAAAUAAUGGCAAAUAAUUCUGCUCCUCAAAGAAGGAAAACAGGGUUUGUUCCAAGCUUGGUUUGAUCUGAGUGGAGAACUUCCCAAAGGAGCACUUAGCCGUCAGAGCCCUAAGAUUGUUAGAAGCACCUUGUUGGUCAGCAAGGUACAUUUUCUUUGAGAUCCAGAAGACACUUGAUGUUAUGGGGUUGUUGUGGUUGACACGUAUCUUCAGUGUUACAAGCAGGACUGCUAUGAUGGUCACAAUUUGUAAUAAUCCCAAAGGAAAAUAAAUGUAAUUCAAACUAUUAAAGAUUCAUCAAGAAGUUGUUAUAGAUGUUGAUGACUAUUGCAAGGAUCAGUAGGGUGUACCUGAAGAAUCUUCAGAGGUUCCGUCACAAAACCAGCCUUCUUUAUCUGCUUAUUGGACUUUUUUAAGUCUCUGAUGCUGCUAAACUAACCCAACAGAUGAUGGCAGAAGAGAAUGCACUCUCCACAGGAGGCAAUUUUUCUGUAAUCAUUGAAGGAUCUAAGCUUCCUCGAAAACUCCAAUCUGCUCUGUCCCUUUCCACUCUUAACCCUAACCCCAACGCAAUGUUGGACUCCAUCAAAGCUGACUCAACAAUUCUCUUCAUGGUGUUCAUAGAGGGGAUCUGAAGAUGCAAGUUGUGGAGAGAAAUUUAUCUCAUGAACCUUCGCCAGUAAUUCAUGGCUGUGCAUCAAUACACAGUCUUUGUGUUUGAAGUUGGGUUUUGUGGUUGGGUUUUGGGGCAAAUGUUGGGUUCAUAAGAGACCAUCAUUCGAUGAAUUCAGUUAAUCAAUCCAUCAGUAUUGAUCCCAAAGGGAAAUGAACCAGAAAAAUUUCUGCAGCCAGAAUCUUCUUCAUUUCAGCAUGAAAAUCAGCAAUGCUCUGCAUAAGAUGGGACUUUAGUUCCAUUAAAAAUAAUAUAGUAAUGGUUUAUUGUCUUUGUAUCUAUAUUAGAAACAUAAAAUAGAGGAAAACUGCUUUGGAAUAUAUAAUCAGUUAAUUCCUGCUAUGUGUGUAUCAAGACAUUUUCUAAAAUGUCAGCAGUAUUGUCUGUGCUCCAGUCUACCUUUAGUCUCCAUGGUAACCAAUGAGAGGUAAUGUGCAGUAUGUCCAGUCAUUACUGCACUAAGUCAGAUGUUCAUCACAGGCAGACUUCCACUACUCGGCUAAAGCGGAGUCGACUUUUCAUUUACCGCUUUUUCCAACUUUGAGAAUGUUUAGUGCACUUAGUUUUUACUAAAUUAAUGUUUCUGGUUGAUUUCUCAAGCACUUGGCUCUUUUAGAAAUUAUCAGUUGAAUAAAGUUUGACAUCUUGUGUUGAAGUUUUAGUUAAUGACUUAAGAAUUCUUCAAGCAGUUAGACAUUUACUGUGGUUUGCAAAAGUAUUCAUACCCCUUGAACUUUUUCCAUUUUUUGUCAAGCCAAGACCAUGUCAAAACUUGAUGAAACUUGGCGUACAAGAAUAAAAGAACAAAAUAAAAUACAGGCAGUUAGAACAAGAUAUAAAUUCAAUGUGUAAGGCCAUGUAAAUUAUAAUAUCAAAAUUAGAAUGAGGAAAAUAAAUACUGGAACACCCUGCGACUUUGCAAGUUCUCCCACUUAGAAAUCAUGGAGAGGUUUGAAGUUUUCAUCUUGGGUGCUUGUCCACUGUGAGAGACAUAAUCUAAAACUCCAGAACCUUGAUACGCUCUUCGUGGAGCCACUCCUUGGUUAUCCUGGCUGUGUGCUUUGGGUCAUUGCCAUGUUGGAAGAUCCAGCCACAAACAAUGAGCAUCUUCAAUACUCUACCUGAGGGAAGGAGGUUGUUCCCUACAAUCUCCCCCCAGUCGAGACAUGGCCCCAGUCAGUGUAGUCGUCCUGUCCCAUGUGCAGAAAAACACCCCAAAGUAUGAUGCUUCACAGUAGGGAUGGUUUUUUGGGAUGGUACUCAUCAUUCUUCGUCCUCCAAACACGGCGAGUGGGAUUAAGACCAAAAAGUUCUAUUUUGGUCUCAUCUGACCAUAUAACUUUCUCCCAGGAUUCCUCUGAAUCAUCCAAAUGGUCAUGAUUCAGAGGAUCAUGAUCCAGAAAGAUUAUAACCCUGAAAAUUCAGGGUUAUAAUCUUUCAAGUGUUUGAGUUUUAUUGCAGGGGGGAGUUUAAUUUGAAUUUAACUUGGCACUUUAGAAAUUAACUUCCACUUGGUGUAGCAUUAACUUACGCUAAGUAGUGUUGGUUAGUGGAACUACUGUUUAGGAUUAGCGGCAGUUGGAUGGAAUGAUGGCAACAGUGGUUGACGCCAUCAUGCCUCUGGUCUAAGGACAUGUAGUGUGAAACACUUUGAGGUCUUCAGGACUUAAAGCUUUAUACAAUUUCAUACUUUAGGGUUAACACAACUAACGUUUUAGUUUGUGGUGUCCCCACUGAUCACAUGAUGUAUGGCAGCAGAUUAAUCAAGUGAACUUUUUAGUUUUGUUGGAAAUCAGAAUUCUGGAAACCAAAAAUUUUGUACCAACCUCAAAUGGUAGAAUCAAGAUUGUUGGGAAUCCGAACUCGCAUCUGUGUUUGGUUUAUGUAAUUAUUAAUAAUUGUAAUCAAUAACUUCUUGUCAAUUAAAUUAUUAAUGAAAUUAAAUAUUCUUUAGUUUUUAACUUAUGAUUCCAGGAACUCUGGAGUUAUAAGUCAAACUCAUUCUUUCGCAAAGGAAUGAAUUCAGACCAGCAGAAGAUCACUGACGCACUGAUUUCUUAUCAAGUCUGAGGAUUUAUUAAUACAAUAGCACAACUUUGCAGC